CUACGGGCGGCACCAGUGGGGAAUUUUGGACAAUGGGCGAAAGCCUGAUCCAGCCAUUCCGCGUGAGUGAUGAAGGCCUUCGGGUUGUAAAGCUCUUUCGGCCGGGAAGAAAUCGUGCAGGCUAAUAUCCUGCAUGGAUGACGGUACCGGACCAAGAAGCACCGGCUAACUACGUGCCAGCAGCCGCGGUAAUACGUAGGGUGCGAGCGUUAAUCGGAAUUACUGGGCGUAAAGCGUGCGCAGGCGGAUGUUUAAGCCAGAUGUGAAAUCCCCGGGCUUAACCUGGGAAUGGCAUUUGGAACUGGACAUCUAGAGGGUGUCAGAGGGGGGUGGAAUUCCACGUGUAGCAGUGAAAUGCGUAGAGAUGUGGAGGAACAUCGAUGGCGAAGGCAGCCCCCUGGGAUAACACUGACGCUCAUGCACGAAAGCGUGGGGAGCAAACAGGAUUAGAUACCCCUGUAGUC
rnacentral:rRNA from 1 species